rnacentral:lncRNA from 1 species
UCUAUGUAUGCUUCUUUUGAACAGUGAAUAUGGCCCACAUCUGAAGUCCAUGAAACAUGACUAUGUGAGGCACUUUCACACCGGAUCGAAUGUCAGACCACCAUAUGGGUCGUCCAAGACGAGAUUCUGGACUAACAGAGUCAUUUUCGAGUCGAUUUAUUAUGUCUGACUCAUGCAUGUGGCUUCCCUUCCCCUACACAACUAAAGCUCGUCCCUCACUGGCUAAAGCGAACUCCACCUAGAUCCACCAUUCCCCCGCAGUCAAUUCUUCCUCAUCAGCCAUUCCCGAAGACAUCUUGCCGCUCAUUCCUGGCUUCGAUUGCGGAGAGCAGAUCAUAACAUAGAUUGCCCAUAGUGUGGCAAAUGUCGGCAAUCUGCCCCCGGUCACCUGCAACCACAAGAGUCCCUUUAGUAUGAAUCAGAUUCACACCAUAACCAUUUGCAACAAUCUAGUCCUCUAAUACAAGCCCAUCAUAAUUCUCAAUAGUCAUUAAAAUAUGGAAUCAAAACAGCUAACAAUCUAUCAUGUAUCCAAAAUUGACACCUAUGCUUAUCAUACAUGCCGGAGAAAAAUAGCUACAAUGUUGCUGUCAAGAUAACAUUUUGGAAGCAUUUUCUCUCAAAUAAGUAUUAAUAGAUCAGACACUGACAAAAUGAUUAUGGUAGUGUAAACCAAACGAAAUGACAUGGCCCACACACCAAUCUAUUCAGGAGUGUUACAUUAAUCCAACAAUUUGUUCAGCGCAUGGUAGCUAUAUAAAUAAUCCAGAUAUCAUUCGUGUUGACAGAAAUUAGCAAUGCUCCCAAGUACAUACAAAAUUGUCGAGAGAGAAUUUCCUAGCAUGCUGAGUUUCCAAAGACUGGACUUCUUAAUAAUGACACACCUUCGUGUCCAUGCAGGAGCUUUAGGGUCGAUCAGGCCAUAGAUUUCUUCGAUGUUGGCGACGAAUCUUCCGUUCAAGCUUCCGUUGCCCCUCCACCACACAUAUUUGCGUGUCUCCACUCACUCCCCUCAUAGGCGGCCGCUGCUCGACAUGUUGAGCCACUCAUGGCUGUCUCCACUCACUCCCCUCAUAGGAAUAGUGAACCGUAAAAAUAUUUUCAGAGUAUUAGGCUUGUAUCAUGAAUUAUGUUCGCUUCUAUCAAUGCUUCAAGACGCAAAGCUUUUUGUGUUUGCUAAGAAAACUAAGCAAAUAUGAAGGUAAAAGGAAAUCAUCAAUAUAAUUCCGCAAAAACUACUACAUGGAACGGACAUGAAAUGUUGCGGAAAUUGCUGAAUCUUGCUUUUCUGGAACAACGAUAUAGAGUGUUCACUACUGACUUGCACAUACUUUGCAAUCAGAAAAAAGCUUCAUCAAGUAUGUAGACGCGGUGAAAGGGAAUACAACAUACAAAAUCUAGAUACAGAAUUCAAGAUAAUAAAGCUAGAUGGAGCUAACACGACACAAUAUGCUUCAUCGUUUAGCGGGUACUCCCAUGCAUAUACUAAAUCAUAUAGACAUACACUUCAACCAUCAGAACUAUGCCAGAACUGGAACUGGUUUGUUCUUACAUGUCAUUUCCAGUGAGAAAAGGGGGAUGCUAUACAUUCCAAGUCACAAAAAUUGUCUUAAAAUUAUAAGAAGCAAACUAAAAAUUAUAAAUAAUCAGAAGAAGUGCUCCCGCUGAGCGAAAACACAUUGCAUCUGAACAAUGCAAAGCAAUUGCAGCACAUAAGCUAGCACCUUAUUCAUGCUUUAAAGGUGUACAGUUUGACCACCUACUUGUAGCUACUAUACACAUUCACAAGACAUUAGGCCUUUCAUGUAAUAUUUUUCUAGGCAAGAAAACAUUGCUAUAUGACGUAACUCGUAGUAGUAGGUAAAUUCACAAACUGUGUAUGUUGUAUCAAUGACUCUGUUGUAAUCAAACUUUGAAGCUACAAUCAGAUAAAGGAAUAAUAUGAACUUCAGUUAACUGAUGUAAAAUAACAAAAAGAGGCAUGUCUAAAGAACACAAUGGAAGAAUAGAAAAAUGCAUGUAGAAGAUUACACAUGAUCUAAUCAUAUACCUUGCCACCCAAAAUUUUGCCUUUGUCGUAUCAAUGAGUUUGCUAUAAAUGAGGAAGUAGUAAUUUUUGCACGUACUCUAGGUGUUUUGUCAUCGGUUGAACGACAAGCUUCUUCAUUUUUGGAAACUACACGAACAAGACAAAACAUUUGUUCACAGUAAGUUAGUAACCCUAAAGGAUCUACUUACUCGGACAAAUUCAUAAGAACAAACUGCAUAUACAGUAAAACACAACGAGCUCUGAAUCAAAGUAUAACUAUUUGAAAAUCUUUGGAGAAGAUCAAACAAUACAUCAUUGCAUCACUACUCGGGGUCACUAACGGAGGCGCCAAUUCCUUCGAGCUGGGGAAAGGGGAAUUGAAGGUGCUCGGCAGAACUGGAAGGGGGAGAAAUGAAAACCUCAAACACUACCAUUUGAAGAGCAGAGGAUAUAUAUUUAGGCACUCACAGAAAUAAUCACCGGAGGUCCUGUACAGAUACAAGUAGGUGGUGGCAUCGCCGUCUUAGCUCGGUUGUCCAAGCAACACAGAAUGUCCUGAUCACCACACAGUUGAAAUUGAAAGUGUUUGCAACUCUGCAAAUUAUAUACAUAUCCAACGAUUCAGUUGGGAGUUUAUUCUGCACCAUUUGUGAAAACACACACUCACAAGCAAUUCGUUGAGUAGACACCGUGAAAUAAAAUUAUAUUGUGAAAAAUACUAUUUAUCAAACAGGUGAAACAAACUAAUCAGGUGCAUCUCCGUAAGCAAAGAAAAAGGCAGACCAAAAUCUAUAGGAUAUGAGACAUAUAUAUCUCUUUGUUUAUAUAUAGACACACACACACACACACGUCAUAAUACCUUGACUUUCUUCCAGAGACUAAACAUUGGUUUGUGGACUAAAAACUCAGAGAAAAAAUUACCAGAAUGGGUAAAUGAGUAAUGGAGCAAACAUGCACAUUACUGAGAGAGAACACAUGUCCAGUGCAUACAGUUAUAAACAACCAUACUUAUAUAAUUUCCAUGUGGGAGAAGUAUAUUAGGUUAUGAAAGCAAGCGCCGUCGUUCGUGAUUUUAACGCACACGACUGAUGUCAUGUCACUAUGGUGCCAACCGGCUUGCCCAUGACACAGCUAGAUUCUGUCACCUCAAUCUUUGUAAUCUCAUCAUCUUAGGACAUGCCACAUUUUGCAAUGUUGUGAGUAGAUGACAGAUAAGAUGUAGCAGUGUAUAAUGGAAUUAGGGGUGGAUCAGCAACCUGACAUGCGCGGGGGAGGUACUCUGCCCGCCACUUCCCAUCCCUAGAGGGGGCGUGCAGGGUCGGCUACCAUCACCUUGACGCUCGGCCCACGAGACUACCAUAGAUGUAUUCUCACCUGCGUCGAUGCCACGUGCAUGACGCCACGACCGCGGCUGCCACAGCCUGGCCUCUCCUACAAGUAAAAAAGUAAAUCACACCAAAAUCAACACAAAAGGCACACCAAAUCAAGUUGAGAAGUGAGAGUGCAAGGGAUUCAUCGUACCUGCUCCGAGUAGGUCGAGACGCAAUAGUAAAUCCCACCGGCUGCCUUCAUGUCCGUUCAUGAUUGGAACAGGCAUGUUUCAGCCAGCUCGAGGUGCACUUACCAAGGUUGCAAAUUACAUGAUUUACGUAUAUAUAUUGUGAGAAGAAAACCCAAAAAAACGAUUGCAUGUAUUUUUAGCGAAGUGUGCUUCUGAACCACAGCUUGGAAUUGUGUAAUCACGACAUGACAUCAUGAUUCCCCAAAACAAUUCAGACCAUAGUUAGCACAGUAUGGACACCUAAAUCUUGAACAUUCUAAAAUAAUUACAAUAUCCUCAUUUUUCUCUAUUUAUACCAGAAAUUAAGAAGAACCGCAAGCAAUCAUCAGGAAAUACCAAAUCUAGGGGUUACAGAAAGUCAAAGUGUUCCCAUCAAACUGUGGAGAACACUAAUGUUCUAUCUUGUUUUUAAUCAAAACUAAUGUUCUACCCGGGAAGAAAAAUGACAGAUGCAACUCACGCAGAUGACCAGGCCUAGGUAAUUUAUAGCAGAUGUCCACCCGUGAGUCCUUUUUCUGCGGAUUAAAAGAAACACUUGCAAGUUGUUAAACCAAAAACAGUGAAUAUAGCAUGCAAGUAAUAAUCAGAAUAUUAUUCAGCUUCCAUUUCCAUGAAUCAAUCAGAGAUAAAGUUGAUCUUUAUUUGACAUUCAAUCAAACAGUCCCAAUCAAAUUUAAUUUGGGGCAGGGUAGAAAGAUGCAAGUCAUAAUAGGGAGAAAAGCUAUCAAGAAUGCCAUGCUGCUUGUUGCGACAAAUUUACCAUGUUACACCUUUUCGUGGAAGGGUCAAAAGAUCUGGAUGCGCUUAUCUGAAAUUCUUAAAUGAUCAGUUCAAACAAAUUAUAGAGCCAAAGCAAUUCAAAAUUUAGCAUUAUGAAGGAAAGGCUCGUGAUUAGUAUGCAAAUACGAAAGGCACAAGAUUACUACGAAGUAGGAUGACUGUCUGCCAAAGGCAAAAAUAACUCAGUUUUAUGCUUUUCUAAACUAAAGCAGAAACGACCGUACAAUUGCAGGAGAAAAAUUGAUGUAUGCUUUUUCUAACCUCAGCAGUAACGAACAGACAAUUGCGGCAAACAGGCUUGGGCAUCACAAUCGAGAACAUCUAUCACCAGCAUACCGCACCGAUUGCGACACCUCAUGUUGUCAAUCUACACUCUGAAAUAUGUCUACAUACAUCCGUAUGUCAUAGUUCAUUUGAAAUGUCAAGAAAGACAAAUAUUUGGAAACGGAUGGAGUAAUAGAUAACUUAUGUGCCCCAUAAAAGGAUACCAAACGCCGUGUGAGAGAUAAGAAUUCAGGGUGACAUCUGUCUAUACAAUUAGUUUUCAAGGCAAACUUUUGCACCAAGAUUGUGACAUAGUCACAUUCCAUCGAAUGAACAUGUGAUGCUGACCGAAGACUUGAUCAACUGUUUAAAUAUGCCUAUGAUAAAAAAUAGUUUAUUCAAAGCACAUUUAUCUAAGAAUGUAGUACGAUUUGUUUAAAGUCAAAAAUGAGAGAUUUGGUUACAUCCUAAAUUAUCAUAUAUAUUGAGGAAUAAAUUUCAUCAACUCAUGAUCUAAAAUGAAAGGACUUCUUAUUAGUGGCAUAAAGUCGUGAGAAAGCCAUGUUAUAUGCACUCUAUUAUGUGUUGGAGCACAUGUGUGCUCGUUAUCCCUCCCAUCAAGUUGCCCCGGGAUUUACAGCCCAACACGCAUAGGCCACUAAUAAUCUAUGUAUGCUUCUUUUGAACAGUGAAUAUGGCCCACAUCUGAAGUCCAUGAAACAUGACUAUGUGAGGCACUUUCACACCGGAUCGAAUGUCAGACCACCAUAUGGGUCGUCCAAGACGAGAUUCUGGACUAACAGAGUCAUUUUCGAGUCGAUUUAUUAUGUCUGACUCAUGCAUGUGGCUUCCCUUCCCCUACACAACUAAAGCUCGUCCCUCACUGGCUAAAGCGAACUCCACCUAGAUCCACCAUUCCCCCGCAGUCAAUUCUUCCUCAUCAGCCAUUCCCGAAGACAUCUUGCCGCUCAUUCCUGGCUUCGAUUGCGGAGAGCAGAUCAUAACAUAGAUUGCCCAUAGUGUGGCAAAUGUCGGCAAUCUGCCCCCGGUCACCUGCAACCACAAGAGUCCCUUUAGUAUGAAUCAGAUUCACACCAUAACCAUUUGCAACAAUCUAGUCCUCUAAUACAAGCCCAUCAUAAUUCUCAAUAGUCAUUAAAAUAUGGAAUCAAAACAGCUAACAAUCUAUCAUGUAUCCAAAAUUGACACCUAUGCUUAUCAUACAUGCCGGAGAAAAAUAGCUACAAUGUUGCUGUCAAGAUAACAUUUUGGAAGCAUUUUCUCUCAAAUAAGUAUUAAUAGAUCAGACACUGACAAAAUGAUUAUGGUAGUGUAAACCAAACGAAAUGACAUGGCCCACACACCAAUCUAUUCAGGAGUGUUACAUUAAUCCAACAAUUUGUUCAGCGCAUGGUAGCUAUAUAAAUAAUCCAGAUAUCAUUCGUGUUGACAGAAAUUAGCAAUGCUCCCAAGUACAUACAAAAUUGUCGAGAGAGAAUUUCCUAGCAUGCUGAGUUUCCAAAGACUGGACUUCUUAAUAAUGACACACCUUCGUGUCCAUGCAGGAGCUUUAGGGUCGAUCAGGCCAUAGAUUUCUUCGAUGUUGGCGACGAAUCUUCCGUUCAAGCUUCCGUUGCCCCUCCACCACACAUAUUUGCGCGUCUCCACUCACUCCCCUCAUAGGCGGCCGCUGCUCGACAUGUUGAGCCACUCAUGGCUGUCUCCACUCACUCCCCUCAUAGGAAUAGUGAACCGUAAAAAUAUUUUCAGAGUAUUAGGCUUGUAUCAUGAAUUAUGUUCGCUUCUAUCAAUGCUUCAAGACGCAAAGCUUUUUGUGUUUGCUAAGAAAACUAAGCAAAUAUGAAGGUAAAAGGAAAUCAUCAAUAUAAUUCCGCAAAAACUACUACAUGGAACGGACAUGAAAUGUUGCGGAAAUUGCUGAAUCUUGCUUUUCUGGAACAACGAUAUAGAGUGUUCACUACUGACUUGCACAUACUUUGCAAUCAGAAAAAAGCUUCAUCAAUUAUGUAGACGCGGUGAAAGGGAAUACAACAUACAAAAUCUAGAUACAGAAUUCAAGAUAAUAAAGCUAGAUGGAGCUAACACGACACAAUAUGCUUCAUCGUUUAGCGGGUACUCCCAUGCAUAUACUAAAUCAUAUAGACAUACACUUCAACCAUCAGAACUAUGCCAGAACUGGAACUGGUUUGUUCUUACAUGUCAUUUCCAGUGAGAAAAGGGGGAUGCUAUACAUUCCAAGUCGCAAAAAUUGUCUUAAAAUUAUAAGAAGCAAACUAAAAAUUAUAAAUAAUCAGAAGAAGUGCUCCCGCUGAGCGAAAACACAUUGCAUCUGAACAAUGCAAAGCAACUGCAGCACAUAAGCUAGCACCUUAUUCAUGCUUUAAAGGUGUACAGUUUGACCACCUACUUGUAGCUACUAUACACAUUCACAAGACAUUAGGCCUUUCAUGUAAUAUUUUUCUAGGCAAGAAAACAUUGCUAUAUGACGUAACUCGUAGUAGUAGGUAAAUUCACAAACUGUGUAUGUUGUAUCAAUGACUCUGCUGUAAUCAAACUUUGAAGCUACAAUCAGAUAAAGGAAUAAUAUGAACUUCAGUUAACUGAUGUAAAAUAACAAAAAGAGGCAUGUCUAAAGAACACAAUGGAAGAAUAGAAAAAUGCAUGUAGAAGAUUACACAUGAUCUAAUCAUAUACCUUGCCACCCAAAAUUUUGCCUUUGUCGUAUCAAUGAGUUUGCUGUAAAUGAGGAAGUAGUAAUUUUUGCACGUACUCUAGGUGUUUUGUCAUCGGUUGAACGACAAGCUUCUUCAUUUUUGGAAA